UGCUAGUCUGAUGGUAGUGGGUUAUCAGAACUUAUUACUUUAAUGUCACUAAAGUUGAUAUACAACCUCCCCACUGCUAAAUUUAGCUGGCUUAA
rnacentral:Y_RNA from 1 species